AUGGCACAAGACCGUUUGGAGCACGCCGAGCGGCAGCGCCACCUCCUCGUCGCCCAGGAGGACGAGCGGGUCAUGGCGGAGUGGCGCCACCGCCACCCGGAGGACGUCGCCUACGAGCAGGCCUACUGGGCAAGGCGUCGCGAGGAGGACACGCGAAGGCGCCACGAGGCGCGGUUGGACAGGCGUCGGCGCAAGGCGUUGGCGAACGCGCAGUCCGAUCUCGUUGCAGCAGGUGGGCAGUCGUUCUUCACGCCGAACGAUGAUCGGUGGUUGGACAUCUGGCUGGAUACCUCGGACGACACCGCCGAGGAGGAUAAUGGUGAUGAUAGUGAUGAUACCUAG
rnacentral:rRNA from 1 species